rnacentral:misc_RNA from 1 species
UUAUUUUGUUUAAAAGCACACGAUUUUGCAGAAUUCCACACAGACAUGCAAGGAUAUGGCAAAACUAAGAGAUCUUCGCGAAGAAAUAAGGGCCUGUUGCCUACCCCUGGAACUGGUUUACCCCUGCCAGAGAAAAAAGCAUGGAGAGAUAAUCUAGGGCAAAGAUCAUUUGAGGGGGAGGAAUGAGGAACCAGUCCAAUGCAGGCGCCAGAAAGUCUGGGUUCGAAUCCUGGUUUGGUCCGUCAUUCUUUCUCCCAUAACAAAGUGCAUUAUGAAUAUAUAAAGCAAUAUUGUAAAGCAUAUCUUUUUGUGUACAUAAAACCAUUCAUUUUCUUAAACACUUGAAUUCUCAAGUGUAAAUAAUUGUAUAUGUGCAUGGUAAUUAAAGCCUGAAUUCAGUUUUUUUAACUUGAUGUCUAUGCAAUUAAUUUUUACAGUGAAAAAUAAGUACUAAGUACCGGUACUGUAAUCCAUUAUCACAUAUCAAAAUCCCUGUAUAUUUUUUAAUUGAAUGUCAACAACAUAAAAAUACACAGUUUGAAAUGAUUAUUGCAGGAAGUUCAGAGAGACCGAGAUUUUAGUCUCAAGUGUAAGAUUUCCACCUCACAAUAUCAGAUACUAGAAUCUGUUAGAGCAAAAAAUGUGGAAAAAUUUAAAUCCAUCGUCAAUCGGGGAGAGAGUCCCAACUUCAGGACAGACACGGGGGACACUCUGUUACAUAUAGUGGUUGGAAUGGGAUGCAGCAAAGCCUGUAUGGAGAUGCUGAGGACUUUAGUUUACAUGGACAUGCCCUUAGAUGCCACAGACAGAUUUGGACAGACUCCUCUCCAUAUUGCAGCAGAGAAAAGCAUGGAAAUGGUGACUGUAUUGUUAGAAGCAGGAGCAUCAGUAAACAUUGAAGAUAAUGCUGGAAGAACUGCCCUGCUGCACGCAUGUUCUAGUUCCUGUGAGGAGGCUGUGGCCAUUGUCCAUUGUUUGUUGGACAGAAAUGCCAACAUCUUCGCUCAGGACCAAGAUGGACACACAGCCUUACACUGCCUGUGUUUGUCCCGACUGAACAUGACCACUAGGAUUGAACUAGCCUAUAAACUUCUGUAUGCUGGCCUAUCAGCCACUGUCCCAGAUAAGAUUGGAAAGAUGGCUCUUUGUCAUGAGAUAUCAAGAGCAUUGCAGCCAAGACACAAAAAUCCAAAGAGCCAGCAAUCUGCACUACUCAUCAGAACUCUAGUCAAAGCAGGCUCCAACUUCAAUCCCAGAAGCACCCAGCACAGAGGCUUUUUAAAACAUGUCUUAAACCUGUACAGUGAUUCCUACCAUGUUCAUCUGGUGAAUGAAUUUGAGCCGGUGCUCUCCCUUACCUCUAUUAAAAAACUUUUGGAAAUUAUACCAGACGAUGACGAAAAUUAUCAACAAUUAGUUCUGUCUUUAAGGAGAAUCUCCCAUAAGAUUCAGACUCUGAAAUUCAUGAGUAGGAAUGCUGUGAGAACAGAGCUAAAAGGAAAGGUAUUGAUCAAAGUGGAUUAUCUUCCCUUGCCCAGGACGUUAAAGAAUUAUGUUCUGUUGGAAGAUGAAUAAUGUUUUAAGUUAAAGUUUAUUAUUAUUUUAGAGAUAAUUUAAAAUGUUAAUAUACUUGAAAAUAAAUCAGUUUUAGAAUUGUUAUGUGCCUUCUCCAUGUUUUUUUUAAAAACAGUUUUAUAUAUCUACUAUUUAUUACUGUUUAUUACAAAAUUCUAUGCAUUCUGACCAGCACUUACUUAUUGAGGAGAUGCAUAUAAAAAAUUUUACAGAAGUGAAUAAAUAAAACAUUGCUGUCAU